rnacentral:rRNA from 1 species
AUUGAACGCUGGCGGCAGGCCUAACACAUGCAAGUCGAGCGAGCGGCGGACGGGUGAGUAAUGUCUGGGAAACUGCCUGAUGGAGGGGGAUAACUACUGGAAACGGUAGCUAAUACCGCAUACCAUCAGAUGUGCCCAGAUGGGAUUAGCUGGUAGGUGGGGUAACGGCUCACCUCGGCGACGAUCCCUAGCUGGUCUGAGAGGAUGACCAGCCACACGGAAACGUAGCAACGGUCCAGACUCCGACGGGAGGCAGCGGUGGGGAAUAUGGAACAAUGGGCGCAAGCCUGUAGCAGCCAUGCCGCGUGUGUGAAGAAGGCCUUCGGGUUGUAAAGCACUUUCAGCGGUGAGGCGUUACCCGCAGAAGAAGCACCGGCUAACUCCGUGCCAGCAGCCGCGGUAAUAC